rnacentral:lncRNA from 1 species
UGGGCUUUCUAUAUCAUACCAUGUCAUCUCAUAUCAUAUUAUCUCAUCUCAUACUGAGGGCUAAGGAUCAUCCAAUAUCCAUCCACAUCAACAACAUAUUAUGCAAUGCAUCAUAUUCGUGGAUUCUAAUGCAAAACAACCUAAUACAUAUCAUGGCAUUUCAUGAUGCAUGGAUCAUGCUCUAAAAACAUUUAAUUUCUUAAUUUAAAGCAUUAGGUUUAGUUCCACUCACCUCUGACUAGCUCUGGGCCGACUUUGAAACGGCUGGCACUGCUAAACACCUCGUUUCCUCGGGUCCGAUCCUACACAGGUGGACUCUAGUGAGGUGCCAAACACACCCUAAACAACUCAUAAACAACUCCCCAAAAACCCCUUAAAGCAUCAAGGAAACAUGCAUACAGAACACUCAUGAAAGGGCUGGACAGGGCACUUUCGGCGGCACUUUCGGUGGCCGAAUGUCCCUUCCAGAGACGAAAGUCAUGCAGGUUCGGGGGCGCCUUCGGCGGCCGAACCCUUUCUCCAGAGAGGAAAGUCAUGCACUUUCGGCGGCCGAACAUCACUUUCGGCGGCCGAACAUCACUUUCGGCGGCCGAAAGUGUACUUCAGCUCCGAAACAUAACUUUCGAGGGCAAGGUUUGGCGGCCAAUCCAUGCAUCCAUAGGCAUGUUCGGCGGCCGAAACCACCUUCGGCGGCCGAACCUGAGUUCUUCCAGAACUCAGCCCUUGUGCAUACAAGCCUCCCAAACCCCCAAAACAAGCAUCCAACCUUUUAAACAUGCAUAAACUUCUCAAAACCAUGCAUAAACCCUUAGUCAUGCAUAAAGGAGCUUAACAACUAGAUUUAAACUCCAAAAACAACAUCCAAAGCAUGCAUAGAUAGCUUAUGACCCACAUGGGCCAAAACCAUCAAAACAACCCAUAAUCUCACUUGCUCUUUCCCAAUCAUGCAUACACUCUCCCACAUGCAUAAACCAGCUCAAACCUUCAACAUAACAUCACAUAAACACACUUUGGGCACAAAACAAGGCUUUCGGAGGCCAAAGGCACUCCCGAAACCUUUCCAUGUUCGGCGGCCGAACUUCACUUUCGGCGGCCGAACCUGGCAAAUGCCUCCUUGGUCUUUUCUUUUCAAAACUCAAAUCUUUUUCAUUUAAAACCAUGAAAUCAGUAAAAACAUUUUAGAAAACACCUUUUACCCUACAAGAAGACUCUGGCAUCAUCAAAAUCCCAGAUUCCAACGGAGAUUUCGCCAGGAGGUAGGGAUUUCGAUGCCGGAAUCUAGCCGGGUAUUACAUUCUUCCCCCCUUUAAGAACAUUCGUCCCCGAAUGUUCAAACAAACAGGCACAUGCAUAUACAUAACAUAAGCACAAUCAUAACAACACAUAAGUUCUAAUCUAUAAAGAAACACGAUAUUACUGGAGUAUGAACUCUCAGUCUCCCUGGUGCACUUUUCAUCUUAAGGUGAUUCUAAGGGACUUUCACCAUCGGGAUUUUCUUGUUUCCACACUUUCUAACUUGUGUGUCUGCGGUCCGUACUAGCUGCUCAACAUAGGUGAGAUCCUCUACGGUCUCCACCUCUGGUUCUUUCACGAACCUCACUCGGCCCCGACACGAACUCAUAUACCGUGGGAACAUGGAAAAACAGAUGGAUCUCUUCCAUUGAAGUGGGUAAAUCUAACUCGUGAGAUACAUUCCCAAUCCUUUGCAGAAUUUCAAAGGGUUCAAUGUAUUUGAGAGCUAAUUUACCUUUCGGCCCAUAACGAAUCACUCUCUCUUUAGGAGACACCUCCAGCAAACCUCAACUUCUUCGAGAACCUUCUCAUGCUUUCGCUGCGCACUCUGACAAAACUCUUCUCGCUUCUGAAACCUUACAUGCCUCUUGCGGGCAACUUCAUAACUCUCCUGCUGACUCACAGCAGUUCUGAUUCUUCUCAUUCUUUGGUUACUGAUCUUCUUCAUACUGCACUAAGGGAUGGGAUAGCUGCCAAGUGGUUUCCGGUUGAGGGUAUCUAUUGAAAUAUUUGCCUCACCGUAAAAUGAACCUUGAAGUCAUAACCACUACACAGUUUUUUACCCAUCUCCUCUGCCACCGGUUCUUCCCCCUUGACUCAAGAUGUAUUGCAAGCUCUUUCGACCCGUAAGGAUCUACCAUCAUACCUUAUACAGGCAUCGCCUCCACAUCUUGAGUGCAAAGAUUAUCAUCGCCAUCUCUAUAUCAUGUGUAAGAUGAUUCAACUCAUGCUUCUUCAGCUACUUAGAAGCAUAAGCAAUCAUCCAGCCACUUUACGUUAACACACAAUCUAGUUCCACUCGGAACGCAUCACAGAACACUAUGACAUCUUCAUUACUGGUGGACAGAGCCACCACGGGUACUGACAUCAACAUUUCCUUCGGCUCUUCAAAGCCUUCUUCGCACUGAGUAGACCACACAAUCCUCUGGUUCUUCUUGAUCCAUCUGGUCAUAGGAGCGGCAACUCUAGAGAAGUUCUAGAUGAACCUCCAGUAGGUAACCUGCCCAACCCAAAAAGCUCUUGAUCUGUGUCACUACAAUGGGUCUGGGCUAGUCAGCUACAACUUCAACUUUCUCAGGUCUACCUCACUUUUCUCUUUUUCCCGACAUACCAUGACCCAAGAAAGGUAUGCUCCUCGACCGGAACUCACAUUUGGAGAACUGGGCGUCCAAGCCAUGUUCUCUCAGGAUCUGCAAUCCUGAUUUCAGAUAAUGGGCAUACCCUUCUGCAUUUCUGGAACUCACCGAGGUACCAUCGAUGAAGACAAUAACGGAGUGGUCCAGAAACCAACUGAAACUUUGCUUAUGAGAUCCAUGAAUGCUGUAGGGGCGUUCAUUAACCCGAACGACAUUCCUAGAAACUCAUAGUGCCCAUAUCUGGCUCUAAACACUGCUAUCUGAACAUCUUCUUCCUUGAUCUUAACUGAUAGUACAUGGACUUCAGAUCUAUCUUGGAAAGGCAACCAGCUCCUGCUAGCUGGCUUAAAUAGAUCGUCGAUCCAAGGUAACAAAUACUUACUCUGGGUAGUGACUUUGUUCAACGACUUGUAGUCGAUACAAAGUCCUUGGGAUCCAUCUUUCAACCUCGCAACAACACUGGAACACCCCAAGGUGAGGUGCUUAGUUAGCUGGGAACCCUUGUCUACUAAUUCUUGCAACUGAUCCUUACAACUCUUUUAACUCCGAUGAUACCAUCCUGUGGGGAGGGAUAGAGAUUGGUCCAAUUCCAUGCAUUACUUCUAUUUGGAACUCUAUCUCUCUGACAGGUGGUAGUCCUGGGAACUUGUCUGAGGAAACAUCUAAUACUCUCUAACAAUGGGCACUAAGGCGGCUCCCUGACCUGACUGCUAUACAUUCUCACAUAAACUAGAAACCCCUGACAACCUCUCCUGAGCAACAUACGAGCCUAUAAGGCUGAUAACAAACCUCUAGGUAUCCCUACUCUGUCCCCUCAAAGGACUACCUCUGAUCCAUCCUGACCUUUGGACUAGACUACCUUGUCUUUGCAGACUCAGGUAGCACCACUAGUAGAAGAACCAAUCCAACCCUAGAAUGACGUCAAACAGUCAAAUCUAGAAUCGUUAGGCCAGCUGGAAGGCAUCUACUCACAACAUACUCUGAACUAUACCGGCAGACUGACUCUGCCACUGAUGGAUCACACUUGGGUCCACCGACCCAAAGGGGAUACUCUAACCCAUAAGCUAUCAAGCCCAACCUCACAAUGGCUCACAAAGCAAACAAAGAAAGAGAAACAUCAGGGUUCAUAAAACAUACACAUCAGAACAUAUCAGAAUGAGAUUACCUGAUCCCAUCGGGUUCGAUGUGUUAGCCUCCUGCUGGGUCAUAGUGAAGAUCCGUGCUGGAGCUGAUGGACCUUCACUUGGGAAACUUGCCGAAGAAGGAGCUAUCCCUCUUCCUCUGCCUCUGCCCUGCGCCAUGGCUGGAGCUCCUGGCUGAGCCAUUCUACCUGAAACUGUCUGCUGGGACUGUGUCACCAAGGUCGCGGUGGGACACUCACGUGCCAUGUGCCCCUCCUAUCCGCACCUGAAACAUGUCGUUGUCCCCACCAAACAGACUCCCUUGUGCGGCCUACCGCACCUCGUACAUCUGGAGUUACCCGAACUAGAGCUCGAACCAUCACCUAAACCCAGACCAGACUUUAUCUGAUCCCAGAACUUGCUCUUCUUCGAUCUUCUGAGGCCUCUGCCUCCCUUCUUACUCUUUGUGACAGCCUCGCUCAGAGGGGAGAGAUUAACAUCACUUGUCCCCGGGGCUUUGGAACCCGAAGACUGUGCCACGUACUGUUUAACUGUCCCUUGAAGGGUGGCACUAGCCUCCAUUUUCCGUGCCAUAUCCACUAUAGCAUGGAAACUCUCCCUUUCUGCUGAUUGAAUCAACGAGGAAUACCUGGAGUGAAGCUUCAUAACAUAUCUCCUAGACUUCUUCAGGUCUGUGUCAAGACCUUGUCCUGCAAACGGCAACAGCUCCAGGAACCUGUCUGUAAACUCCUCUACACUCAUCUCUUUCGACUGCCUUAACUGCUCAAAUUCAAUCAUCCUCAGUUCUCUGGAACUAUCUGGAAAAGCCCAUCCUGCAAACUCAUUGGCAAACUGUUCCCAGGAUAAGCUUUCCAACCUUGGGUCCACAUAGUUUUUGAACCAUUCCCUUGCCUUCUUGCAUUUCAAUGUGAACCCUGCCAUCUGAAUGGCUCUACUGUCACUUGCUCCCAACUCAUCAGUUAUCAUCUUCACCGUUCUGAGGUACUCAAAAUGGUCAUCACCUGAUUCAAACUUGGGGGCACCCAACUUUAGGUAGUCUGUCAUUUUUACUUUACCCCCAACUGAUGAACCAGGUUUGGGUAUCUGGACAUCAGGGACUAUCGGCUCUGCUGGUGGAGGAGGAGGUGCAGCAUUCCCUGGGUUAGGGUUUGCUGGACCUGGGUAGAAGGAUGAGGGUGGAAACAUGGGGUACUGUGGGUAAGGUGGGUAAAAGGGUGGAUUGGGCAUAAAGGUGGGAUAUGGGCUGCAAUGAAAGAAAUCCGAUGUACCUCCUAUCGGAUACCCUGACCCUUGCGGGUAGGGUGGAUACUGUGGUGGAACAAAGCCCGAGGCCUGAGUGCCUCCUUGGGACUCUCCCAUAUCCUCUUCUGACAUACUCCUGCCCAAACUGCUAUCUCUUCUCUGAUUAUCCUCCUCUGUUUCCAUCACAUCCACUGAUAUACCACCAUGAACUGAUCUCCUCCGACUUGCAUCAAAAGACCUUCUAGGGUCCCUUGAUGUACCUUCUCUGCUUGUUCUACAAGAUCUUGCCCUCUGCAGAGCAGGGGAAUGGGCAUCCAUGCCCUCAUUCUCUGGCGGAGCUCCAGUCAACCUUACAGAUCGACGAGUUCCUCUCAUCUUGACUUCUGAAAGCACAACAUAACGCAUAAACAUUAACAUCAAAUGGUUCAUGUGCAAACACAUGAACCCGCAUCACAUACAUAGCAUAUCAUUAAUGCACAUGCAUAAAAUCAUGGCAUUUCACAUCAUCAUACAAGACAGGACUCCACAUCCUAUCCUAGUGGACAUGAUCUCUCCUACUGUGCUUGCCCUUAUAUAACCUCUAUGAGCCCGACACUCUAGGUCCGACCAUAUGAACCUAGGGCUCUAAUACCAUUCUGUAACGAUCCGGAAAUCUGGACCGCUACCGGCACUAGGAUCCAGAUCGGCUUAAGGCCGCCGCGACCCGUAGCAAGCCUAACAUACAUCCUGUACAUCUGGUAUAAUCCCAAACAUGAUCAAACAUAAACAUAAAAGCUGUAAAACAUAAAAUUUGUAAACUUUUUCUUUCUUUCAUACACCAAGCUUAACCCGUGCAUGCACAAACUCAUAAUCAUAAACCCCAACACUAGAGUUCUCAUCCUCAACUCUAAUGGGGCAACAUAAAAUAAGCUUGGUUUUCCUGUCUCAUUAAAGACAUACAUAAGGACCAUAUACAAGGGAUUAACCACACUUCUAGGGCAAAGCACAACUCUAUCUAUUACAUUACAUUGAUUUACAUCAUAAAAAUUUUCAUUUCAUUACAUAGCUUUACCUUACAUCAUGUCCACUACUAAUCUAUUACAUGAAUAUGACCAUAGACAUAACCUGCUGAUCUUCUGACUAUCUCUGACCCUGCAAACCUGGGGUUAGGGGAGAGGGGUGAGCUAUAAAGCCCAGUGGGCGGAAAGCACACUAGCAGAACAGUUCAUUUACAAGUAUGCCAUCAUGGAAUGCAUCACAUCACAAACAUAUCAUAUCAAGGAUGAACUUGUCACCAUUAGCCCUCUACAUAUCAAAAUAUGUCCAACUAUACCAGGGGCAAUGAGGCCACACCUAGUAUUCGCUUACAUAACUCAUAUCAUAACAUGUCCAACUAUGCCAGGGGCGAUUAGGCCACACCUGGUCUUUCCUUACAUAUACAUGAUGCCAGGGGUGAUUAGGCCACACCUGGGCUUUCUAUAUCAUACCAUGUCAUCUCAUAUCAUAUUAUCUCAUCUCAUACUGAGGGCUAAGGAUCAUCCAAUAUCCAUCCACAUCAACAACAUAUUAUGCAAUGCAUCAUAUUCGUGGAUUCUAAUGCAAAACAACCUAAUACAUAUCAUGGCAUUUCAUGAUGCAUGGAUCAUGCUCUAAAAACAUUUAAUUUCUUAAUUUAAAGCAUUAGGUUUAG